ensembl:lncRNA
AUAAAACUGUAGUACACUGCUGUCAUAUAAGUUAAGCUGAACUGAUAUCAACCUCUGUUGACAUUUCUGCUUGUGCCUUAGGAACAGCCGUCAUUAUUAUUGGACACACGCCUAACCUGGGUGGCUUGCCCUUUAGUAACGUCAAUUCAGCUGUAACGAUUUUCUGAGCGUGGACAGUUUUUUCUUUUGUUUGGUGACUGAAACUGCUACUUUCCUUACAGAUCAGUGUUGUCUUUUUUUCUACCAGCCUGCAAUUUGAUAUGAAUUCUAUGCAGAUUAAACCAGCUUUAAUAGUGGCUGAUAAAUAUUGGUCAAUCAAAUUUGCUGUGAAUAAAGCCGGCAGUAAAGCCGGAGAUAUUUUGGAUGCUUUUCUAAGCUUCACUGUGAUAGCGAUCUUUGUGGAUGCCAGCUGGCUGCAGGAAUGUAAAGCAAAGUGAUGUAUUUUGGAAACCCUAAGAACUAGCUGUUUUCUGUGGGUACAGGGCAGCUACAUCCCUGUUGGCAGCAAAGUAGAGUUGUAUUUAGCCUGCUACAGAGCAGUAUGUGCCUAUGGCACAGCUCAACUCAGGCAGAGGUUUGGGAGGCUAAUACUUGGAGAUUUUUUUUUAUUUCUAUUUUUUUUUAAGGUGAGUAAAAGCGUGUUUCUAGCCCCUCUUGUUCCCUUGUUGCAAUGAAAAGCAACAAAAACAACCUCUGCUGAAAUGUGGAGACAUCUCAGCAUUCAGAAGCUGGAGGCAAUAGCUGGAAAGGUGGGAGCAGCCCCCUGCAUGCUUGGGUUAGUGCUGCGAUGCCUGUAAGGUGCUGCUGCCGCCGCUCACCCACAGCGCUGUGUAUGCAAGACCUGAAAAAGAAAGGAUGGAGGAUGGCCACGGACCCAGCUGCACGGCCAGGGGGUGAAAGGAAAAAUCCUGGACAGUGGUUAAGUAAUUAGGUGGUAGUGAUGAGAAGGCAGCAUGAUGAAAAGCAAGAAUUGCCUCAGUGGUCUGCCAGAGGCAGCCCCAAGCUGUUGCUCCUCUCCAUGACCUGUUUGCUCUCCGUUCUGGCUGGCUGUGUCCUCUCCCCUGCUGAGAGAGUCCGGGGGCCCUCCAAGACCCCGACCAACAUGCACCUUCCCUCAGCAGGAAGCCUCACCCCAGGUAACGCUGAUUCGGGGGGAUGGGCCAGCCUGGGUUUUCCCGCUGUACCUCGUUUUCCCUUCCUUCCCUUCUGGCUUGGCGUGUAACCGGAGGCUGGCCCGGUGCUCUCGGGCUUCGGAGCGAAGCUUUCAGCGUAGAGCUUUGAUCUGGCUCCAGGGCACCUUCCCACCGGGACGCGUCUCCGGCACCAACCGCAGCUUUGUCGCAGGAGCUCUGCCGUGCUGCCUGGCUGUGGCUGGCUGCCCUGAGCAAAGGUGCGCCUUCGGUCCAUGGGUGCCGUGUAUCAUUUCAUACACUUCCUUUGAAUUAAAGUGAAAUGAAAAGUGAAAAGCAAUUACAUUCACCAAAGAGUACUAUUGGUAUGAUUGACCAAAUUCUUUCCCUGGUCUUGGGAGAAGGCAUGGGUUUUGUACCCUGAAGUAGGAUUGUGCCCUCUAAAUUUUAGCCAUGUAAAGGUGAGGUAACUAGUGUAGGAGUCAUCUUUACUUCACCUAGGGUUAACGGAGAGAAAAUGUCAUCUCCAGCAAACACCAUGUUCCGCUUAACUAGGACGGGGUGAAAUGCCCUUUGCUGUCCUAGCCUGAGGGAGCCCAGGUAGCCAGCUGAAGCGUGGGUGUUCUCAGUAUCUGAAGUCAUGUAAGAUGGAGCCCACCGGAAGAAAUCCCAGUCUAAAUCUGCAAACUCAGCCUAAGGUGCAAACGCACUUAGCACACCAAAUAAGCUUCAUGAAAGUGUAGGCAUCUGUGUAGCAUCAUCAUCAAAAAUCUUCCUGGAAGAGGUUUAGAAAAGGAUUUGAUAGAGCAAAGGUAAUCGUUUGAUACGUGAGAAGAGGAGAGCGGUUCUGGCACACUCUAACAGAGAUGGAAUUAUUGCAUCCACCCCUCCUGCUACCUCCACCCCCAAAAUCUGAAAACUUCCUGAUUUGUGUUCAUCAAUAAUUAAAAGCCCAUCAGCAAUACUCAGAGGGAGCUUGCAUUGCACUUCUGAGCAGCCAGAUAGUAAUGUACGGUGGAGAGAUCCUCUUUUUCAAAUCCCAGGGCUCCAGGCCAUGCAAUGCUAGUAUUGCAUUUUCAAUUAGCUUCUGAGUGAACGCUUGGCAUAUGUAGAAAUGAACCGGUACACAAUUAGCUUAUUGUUCCUUUCAGCUUUGUGCUGAGAGGAUCUGAAGGGCUGCAGAAGAGAGGGGAGAGGGGGGGGAAAAAGAAAAAAUAGCCA